rnacentral:rRNA from 1 species
AGGGCACCACCAGGAGUGGAGCCUGCGGCUUAAUUUGACUCAACACGGGGAAACUCACCCGGCCAGGACACAAUAAGGAUUGACAGAUUGAUAGCUCUUUCUUGAUUUUGUGGGUGGUGGUGCAUGGCCGUUCUUAGUUGGUGGAGCGAUUUGUCUGGUUAAUUCCGAUAACGAACGAGACUCUAGCCUAUUAAAUAGACGAUAUAUUAUUAGUUUAUCGAGCUUCUUAGAGGGACAGGCAGCUUCUAGCUGCACGAGAUUGAGCAAUAACAGGUCUGUGAUGCCCUUAGAUGUCCGGGGCUGCACGCGCGCUACAAUGAUAAUAGCAGCGUGCAUUAAAACCUUUUCUGGUAAGAAUUGGUAAACACGAAAUACUGUCGUGCUUGGGAUAGGGGAUUGAAAUUAUUGCCCUUAAACGAGGAAUUCCCAGUAAGUGCGAGUCAUUAGCUUGCGUUGAUUACGUCCCUGCCCUUUGUACACACCGCCCGUCGCUACUACCGAUUGGAAGAUUUAGUGAAU